rnacentral:tRNA from 1 species
GCCUGGGUGGCUCAGUCGGUUAAGUGUCUGACUUCAGCUCAGGUCAUGAUCUCGCGGUCCGUGGGUUCGAGCCCCGCGUCGGGCU